GUUGAAACACUGGUUCCUAUAAAAUCACCAAAGUUAAGCAACAUUGAGCCUGGUCAGUACCUAGAUAGGUGACUGCUUGGGAAUACCAAGUGUUGUAAG